rnacentral:rRNA from 1 species
GAUGAACGCUGGCGGCGUGCCUAAUACAUGCCAGUAGAACGCUGAAGGAAGGAGCUUGCUCUUUCCGGAUGAGUUGCGAACGGGUGAGUAACGCGUAGGUAACCUGCCUGGUAGCGGGGGAUAACUAUUGGAAACGAUAGCUAAUACCGCAUAACAGUAGAUCUUGCAUGAUAUCUACUUAAAAGGUGCAAUUGCACCACUACCAGAUGGACCUGCGUUGUAUUAGCUAGUUGGUGAGGUAACGGCUCACCAAGGCGACGAUACAUAGCCGACCUGAGAGGGUGAUCGGCCACACUGGGACUGAGACACGGCCCAGACUCCUACGGGAGGCAGCAGUAGGGAAUCUUCGGCAAUGGACGGAAGUCUGACCGAGCAACGCCGCGGGAGUGAAGAAGGUUUUCGGAUCGUAAAGCUCUGUUGUAAGAGAAGAACGAGUGUGAGAGUGGAAAGUUCACACUGUGACGGUAUCUUAACAGAAAGGGACGGCUAACUACGUG